AAAUUUUUAGUUUAUAAAAAUAUUAAAUUGCAAAUUUAGAGAAAUAAAUAAAGUUAUUUAUAAAAUUUU
rnacentral:tRNA from 1 species